UACGGGGGGGGCAAGCGUUGUUCGGAAUUAUUGGGCGUAAAGGGCGCGUAGGCGGCUUUGCAAGUGACGGGUGAAAUCCCUCGGCUUAACCGAGGAACUGCCUGUCAGACUGCAUGGCUUGAGACCGGGAGAGGUGAGUGGAAUUCCCAGUGUAGCGGUGAAAUGCGUAGAUAUUGGGAGGAACACCAGUGGCGAAGGCGGCUCACUGGACCGGUACUGACGCUGAGGCGCGAAAGCGUGGGGAGCAAACAGG
rnacentral:rRNA from 1 species